GUCUGACCUGCCCACUGAUUUUAUUAAAUGGCCGCAGUAUAUUAACUGUGCAAAGGUAGCAUAAUCAUUAGUCUUUUAAUUGAAGGCUGGUAUGAAUGGUUGAAUGAAAUAUUAACUGUUUCAAUUUAAUUGUAUAUAGAAUUUUAUUUUUUAGUCAAAAAGCUAAAAUAUAUUUAAAAGACGAGAAGACCCUAUAAAUCUUUAUAAUUAAAAUUUUAUAAAUUUAUAGAUAAUUUUAUUUUUAAAAUUUUUAAUUAUUUUAUUGGGGUGAUAUUAAAAUUUAAUAAACUUUUAAUUAAUUAAUUACAUUAAUUAAUGAAAAAUUGAUCCAUUUAUAAUGAUUAAAAAAUUAAGUUACUUUAGGGAUAACAGCGUAAUUUUUUUAGAGAGUUCAUAUUAAUAAAAAAGAUUGCGACCUCGAUGUUGGAUUAAGAUAUAAAAUUAGGUGCAGUAGUUUAAUUUUA
rnacentral:rRNA from 1 species